GCAAACUUGGUCAUUUAGAGGAAGUAAAAGUCGUAGCAAGGUUUCCCGUAGGUGAACCCUGCCGAAGGAUCAUUAAAAGAACUUGUGCCCGAGACAUUCGUGUCCAAGGCCCCACACUGUGUGCACCGUUUAUCGUUCUUUUUGGCAGGGGCUUUGGGGGUCUUUCUCCCUUGUGGGAGGGGGAACUCGAACUUCUCCUUCGGCUCUAUCCUCUUCUCUCUCUCAUUCUUUGGGUGUGUGGGGAGAGAGGACAGUCGGACAUAGGAAGCGGUUUUACCCGCCAAGUGAAUACUUAAACAUGCUCUUUUGUCUGAAAAAUGGUUUAAUAAAUUGCGACCAUGAAUUUUUUCGUGGAACGCAAAAAACCAAACAUAACUUUCAACAACGGAUCUCUUGGCUCUCGCAUCGAUGAAGAACGCAGC
rnacentral:misc_RNA from 1 species